rnacentral:rRNA from 1 species
UAGGGAAUCUUCGGCAAUGGACGAAAGUCUGACCGAGCAACGCCGCGUGAGUGAAGAAGGUUUUCGGAUCGUAAAACUCUGUUGGUAGAGAAGAACGUUGGUGAGAGUGGAAAGCUCAUCAAGUGACGGUAACUACCCAGAAAGGGACGGCUAACUACGUGCCAGCAGCCGCGGUAAUACGUAGGUCCCGAGCGUUGUCCGGAUUUAUUGGGCGUAAAGCGAGCGCAGGUGGUUUAUUAAGUCUGGUGUAAAAGGCAGUGGCUCAACCAUUGUAUGCAUUGGAAACUGGUAGACUUGAGUGCAGGAGAGGAGAGUGGAAUUCCAUGUGUAGCGGUGAAAUGCGUAGAUAUAUGGAGGAACACCGGUGGCGAAAAGCGGCUCUCUGGCCUGUAACUGACACUGAGGCUCGAAAGCGUGGGGAGCAAAACAGGAUUAGAUACCCUGGUAGUCCACGCCGUAAAACGAUGAGUGCUAGAUGUAGGGAGCUAUAAGUUCUCUGUAUCGCAGCUAACGCAAUAAGCACUCCGCCUGGGGAGUACGACCGCAAGGUU